GGCCCUGACAAGCAAACGUCCCCUGUCUUCACUUGAGAGGAAUUUGACAGCAAUUUUUAUUAUCCUAAAGCUGUGAAAAAGCACGAGGAAGAAGCAGUGAAUCGUUAUCUGCAAUAAACGAUAUAGCCAACCUCCGUGAAGUCGCCCAGAACAAUUGGUUUGCUUUAAAGGUUGAAGUUGACAUGUGCAAUUUGUGAAAAAUACUCAGUAUGGUUCUCAGUCGCUCAAAAAAACAAGUGAUCGUACGAGAUCCCACAGGAUCAAUUAAACUCACUAUGUGAGAAGAUUAUGUUGAAUGUCUCGA